rnacentral:lncRNA from 1 species
UUGUUGUUUAAUGAGUUUUUGGAAGUGAGCCCUCUUUGGGGCGCUUUCAGUUCAACUAGUUAAAACGGUAGUUAUGGUACCUUAUGUUCUGAGCUGGAUAGCCAGUGAUCUUGGAUAUAGCCAGUAAUCUUGGAUACGUCUUGAGAGGACAGCACAGUUUAUUUACCAAUAAAUGUUCAACGAAUGAAAAGUGAACACGGUUAUACGACUGGAUUUCAAUAUUG